rfam:Drosophila mojavensis strain TSC#15081-1352.22 Ctg01_8166, whole genome shotgun sequence.
CUGUUGUAGCCAGCGGAUGUUUUAUUUGGUAGUUGUAUUUUAUAAAGUCUAUCAUAAGACACACGCGGCUAUAACAG